GUUCCUUCUGGGACAUCCGAUAAAAUUGAAACGAUACAGAGAAGAUUAGCAUGACCCAUGAAAUUACAAAAAUUUCUAAAAUUUCAUACCAUUUU
rnacentral:snRNA from 2 species